rnacentral:misc_RNA from 1 species
AAGUCGUAACAAGGUUUCCGUAGGUGAACCUGCGGAAGGAUCAUUAACACGUUAUCCAUACGUUAACCAACGAGAAUCGUUUUCACGCUCCCUUCACGGAGAAUGAGCGGGGUUCGUAGAGGUGUUGAAAGGGAUUGCUUCGGUAGUCUGGCCUCUACUCUACUAUUGUUAUUCGACAGAAAUGUCUUAUACGACGCUGUAUCUUUUUGUGGAGAUUAAUCUCGGCUAGCGCUCUCCUUUCAUGAGAGUUAGACGGGAACUAUAUUAACUUAUUUCACCUUUUUGCUAGUUGACUUUUAUAUGUUGAGUCGUGUGCCAUGCAUGCUGCUCACACGUUUAUUUAUUUGAACGUUAAAAUUACAACUCUUAGCAAUGGAUAUCUUGGUUCUC